GAUGUAAUAGGACAUGAGUGGUUAUUUCAUGAUGAAUUGCUAACAAACAUUGCAAGCAAAGAGGUUGAAGUUUUUUGACUUCUAUGUUGUGAUCAAGCUCCUUGACAUUACAAAACCUAUACCUUUCUCAACAUACAUGAUGUUGAAAGAACUCUAACACAAGCUAGGUGUCUUCAAUUCCUUACAAACAACUCUAAAUGUUUGAAAUAUCGAGUUGCCACCAUAAAAUGGACUUGGAAACAUCAGAAGUUGUUGAGUUACUGCAUAUUGAGUUUUAGAGGGAUUACUGUACUCUAGUCAGUUACACAGAGAGUGCUUCGGCUACAGAAGACUCAACUCACGCAAGCGGACAAUGUAUGUGUGGAUCAGUAUCAAACUCCCGCCAGUUCGAGCAACACAGCAGAUGCUGCAGUAAAGAGUGGUGAGCUGGACCACGAAAAUCUGCUUGCAGCCAUUGGAUCCAUGGAUACUCCUUUCACGCAUCCGAGAAGAUCUCCAUCGGCGGACUUUGAUUACAUCCAUGACGUGGUGAAUUACUGGCAAUGCACAUGAUUCCUGUGUAGGGAGAAAAUAACUUAGUCGGUCACUGUAAAUCCAUGCGAGAAUCCAGUGAUAAUGGAGCACAUGGAUUUGGUCUCGGUGCAAAAUUGCCUGACCCAGUUUGCAGUUUGUUCUUGUGAGGUUUUGGAUCCUACUCUGCAGAAAACUUCCGUCAGCUCAGCUAUUAACCUUCUCUCCGCUUGAGUGGUAAAUUAUAAUUCCCGCUUGGUGUAAGUAGACGGAUCUCUAUUGAAGCAUGACGCAGGUUGUGGGGAUGUAGAUCUACGUCCCAGCCAUUUACAGAGGCGGGCUCUUUUGCAGAAUCUAGCGAGCAAAAACAGUUCCAUGAAAUAGGAACUCUUCAAGUUUAUGUCUUCUUUAAAGACAACGCCUCGUGACAUCGCAGCGUGCAGUGAAUUAAGCGAUAUAACAAACACUAUCACACCACUACCAUUGAACAAACUUUCAACGUUUUGACAAAUCAAUUACAUGCUCUUUCCUCCUUAUAUAAC
rnacentral:lncRNA from 1 species